rnacentral:lncRNA from 1 species
CAAAAUUUAAUUUUUUCUCGUUUCAAACUUAAAUUUGAAAAGAAAAAACUAAUUAUUUUCACCACUAAGAUUUUAGUUUUGUAAGAGAAGUGAAUCUUGGUCAAAUCCAUCAAAACCACUGGGAAUUCUAGCUUUCCAACACAGAGAAAAACUCCAAGACAUCACGUGAAGCAUCAUGGUCACUAUCUAGGACCUAGAAAAACUUGUGUACCC